UCGAAUUAGUGCAAAAUACGCGCCUCACUAAAUGAGAACAAAAAAACCGACGUUAAACGCGUCGGUUAUUUUUUUGC
rnacentral:sRNA from 1 species